GUGAUUCUUGACUCUGUUGCUUCUGUGGUCAGAAAGGAGUUUGAUGCACAACUUCAAGGCAAUCUCAAAGAAAGAAACAAGUUCUUGGCAAGAGAGGCAUCCUCCUUGAAGUAUUUGGCUGAGGAGUUUUCAAUCCCAGUUAUCUUGACGAAUCAGAUUACAACCCAUCUGAGUGGAGCCCUGGCUUCUCAGGCAGACCUGGUGUCUCCAGCUGAUGAUUUGUCCCUGUCUGAAGGCACUUCUGGAUCCAGCUGUGUGAUAGCCGCACUAGGAAAUACCUGGAGUCACAGUGUGAAUACCCGGCUGAUCCUCCAGUACCUUGAUUCAGAGAGAAGACAGAUUCUUAUUGCCAAGUCCCCUCUGGCUCCCUUCACCUCAUUUGUCUACACCAUCAAGGAGGAAGGCCUGGUUCUUCAAGAUUAGAACCAGCCAUUUCUUGUGUGCCUUCAAGCACCUUCUGUGGUUUCCUGACAGCUGCCUGCAAGGGGGCAGUAAACAAGAGCUCUGAAAGGGGAAGGAAGCCAGGAGAAAGCCAGCUCCAUUAGUCACGCAGCAGCAUAUCCUGUCACAAAGGACCCCAGUUGAGUAAUCGCCCAAAAUAUGCCUGUUAUUUUUUUCUGUCAGAAAAAAAAUGGGGCCUGCCAAAAUGUACUGUAAAAAAAAAAAAAA
rnacentral:sRNA from 1 species